rnacentral:rRNA from 1 species
UUACCCCCGUAACUUCGGGAGAAGGGGGGCCCAGAGGGUGACGGGACUUGCUCCCCGAGCCUGAACGGCCGCAGAGACCAGGGAGAAGCGACUGUUUACUAAAAACACAGGUCCGUGCCAAGUCGCAAGACGAUGUAUACGGACUGACGCCUGCCCGGUGCUGGAACGUUAAGGGGACCGGUUAGCCUCACGGCGAAGCUGAGAACUUAAGCGCCAGUAAACGGCGGUGGUAACUAUAACCAUCCUAAGGUAGCGAAAUUCCUUGUCGGGUAAGUUCCGACCUGCACGAAUGGCGUAACGAUUUCUCCACUGUCUCAACCACGAACUCGGCGAAAUUGCACUACGAGUAAAGAUGCUCGUUACGCGCAGAAGGACGGAAAGACCCCGGGACCUUUACUACAGCUUGGUAUUGGUGUUCGGUACGGCUUGUGUAGGAUAGGUGGGAGACUGUGAAGCUGACACGCCAGUGUCGGUGGAGUCAACGUUGAAAUACCACUCUGGUCGUUCUGGAUAUCUAACCUAGGUCCGUGAUCCGGAUCAGGGACAGUGCCUGGUGGGUAGUUUAACUGGGGCGGUUGCCUCCUAAAAGGUAACGGAGGCGCCCAAAGGUUCCCUCAGCCUGGUUGGCAAUCAGGUUUUGAGUGUAAGUGCACAAGGGAGCUUGACUGUGAGACUGACAAGUCGAACAGGGACGAAAGUCGGGACUAGUGAUCCGGCGGUGGCUUGUGGAAGCGCCGUCGCUCAACGGAUAAAAGGUACCCCGGGGAUAACAGGCUGAUCUUGCCCAAGAGUCCAUAUCGACGGCAUGGUUUGGCACCUCGAUGUCGGCUCGUCGCAUCCUGGGGCUGGAGUAGGUCCCAAGGGUUGGGCUGUUCGCCCAUUAAAGCGGUACGCGAGCUGGGUUUAGAACGUCGUGAGACAGUUCGGUCCCUAUCCUCUGCGCGCGCAGGAAACUUGAGAAGGGCUGUCCCUAGUACGAGAGGACCGGGAUGGACGAACCUCUGGUGUGUCAGUUGUUCUGCCAAGAGCACCGCUGAUUAGCUACGUUCGGGAGUGAUAACCGCUGAAAGCAUCUAAGCGGGAAGCAUGCUUCAAGAUGAGGUUUCCAUGGGGUUUACCCCGAGAGGCUCCCAGCUAGACUACUGGGUUGAUAGGCCGGAUGUGGAAGUGCGGUAACGCAUGGAGCUGACCGGUACUAAUAAGCCGAUAACUUGACC